UGCGUAGGCGGGAGAUUAAGUCAGUGGUGAAAUCCUGCAGCUUAACUGUAGAAUUGCCAUUGAUACUGGUUUUCUUGAGUGUAGUUGAAGUGGGCGGAAUGUGUAUUGUAGCGGUGAAAUGCUUAGAUAUUACACAGAACACCUAUUGCGAAGGCAGCUCACUAAACUAAUACUGACGCUGAGGCACGAAAGCGUGGGGAGCGAACAGGAUUAGAUACCCUGGUAGUCC
rnacentral:rRNA from 1 species